AAAUGCUUAGCCGCCUAUAAAGCUGUAACAGUUUAGCCUGUGGUCACUGAGGGAAGAAUGUAAGUUAGCUUCUGUAGUGGCCAUGUGGAAGUCCUGACCUCGCUUGCAGACUUGACCUCUGGAUAUGACAAGAUGAGGUUCUGUGUUCACUGAUACAUCCCACCGGUACUUCACCGGCUCGUGAAAAGAAGUGCUGAAUCAGCGAAUAGAGUAAACGCCACAAUCAAGAUGAGAUGGCUGCUGAUGAUGUGACUCUCUAGGUCAUUACCUUCCUUUCUGCUGCAAAUGCUGCAUGACACUAAGCUGACAGGAUCUAGAAGCAAGCUAUACAAGAGAAGAAACUCGCUCUGAAGACUAUGAAGAAACACUCAGCUGAUCUUACCAGUUUCUGAAAUACACUCAGUAAAACUACUGAUUCUAUGAAUCUCUUGCAGAAAGAAACAAACCAGGACAAAGUUCAACAGACAAGUGGUCAAAUGUUUAGAAAUAUUUAUGUCCACCAAGAACAAGAAACCAUAAAUGGCAUUAAUGCUAUGCUUCAGGUAAACUUCUUAUAAAGUAUAGCCUUUGAUAAAUUAAUCUCUGCAAACGAUCUAGCAUUGCUCUAUAGUAGUAAACUGAAUGUUUUACUAACAAAUGGGAAAAUAAAAUAGUUCAUGUUUUUACAGCUAACAACUUCAUAAUACCUACUCAGAGUACAUACUUCUUUAUGUACCCAUAUGAACAUACAAUGCUAUGGAAUGUAAAGAAGUAUGUAUUUUUGGUAGGCAAUACACUACCAAGAAAGAACUAAAUGGCAGCUAAAAGAAGCCCUUGCUUCUUUCUACAUGAAUGACCUUCACGUGAUAAAUUAACUUAGUAACAAACAGAGGACCUUUGGCAAUACUAAUACCCCCAAAAUGAAUCUAUUAUUUACACCUGGAAACUAAAUAUCUCUAUGGUUUCUAUUUUGUGAAGGAAAACAAAUUCUAAUUAUCAUGCAACUCUUUUUAAAUCAUUUAAGUUUAAAACAUACUAAACUUACUUUUAAAUUAAAUACUCUUAGCACAUGAUUAAAAUUUGACUACAAAAGGGAAAAUAGUAUUACCAGCUCAAAAGAAUGAAGUUUCGCACAUAACCUACCUUUUCUCCACAAUCUGAUAGUAAGUAUACCAUACUAGCGGAGAGCUGACUGAUAUGUUAAGAAAAAUCAGAUGCGGGUGGCACCUGUGGCUCAGUUGGUAAGGCGCAGGCCCCAUAUACCGAGGGUGGCGGGUUCAAAACCCGGCCCCGGCUGAACUGCAAACCAAAAAAUAGCCAGGCAUUGUGGCGGGCGCCUGUAGUCCCAGCUACUUGGGAGGCUGAGGCAGGAGAAUCGCCUAAGCCCAGGAGUUGGAGGUUGCUGUGAGCUGUGUGAGGCCACGGCACUCUACCGAGGGCCAUAAAGUGAGACUCUGUCUCUACAAAAAAAAAAGAUGCAACAAAAGCUGACUUCUUUCACAUUAAAACAUCUAUUUCUUCACAUCUUGACAAUUUAUUUAUAAUCUACUGGUAUUUGAGGAAUUUCUGAACCAAAAGUUUUGUUGUGUUAGCUUUUCUUGUUUUGACAGCUACACAUAGUCAUAAUUCUAGAAGACUAUCUUUUAAGUAAAUUUCUACUGUCCUUCUCAACUUAAUCAGGCCCUUAACCCAAUCUCCACUUUAAAUGUGAAAUUAGUACUUAAAAUUAAUUAAAGACUAUAAUAGAGCUCUUAGCAAUAAUUUAUAAGCAGUACCUAUUUUAAGCUACCAUUUGACAAAGUUAGAAAAAAGACAUACUAAUAUUCAUUUAUUCUAAUUAUUUCUCACUAAAAGUAUUACUUCAACUGAAAUAUUUACAAAUGUAUAAAAAGUAUAUUUAAAAUAUUUUUGUAUCACAAACUGAACAGAAAUGACUAGAAGUUUAACUACAGUUAAUUUUCUGUUUAAUAAGACAACUAGUUAAUAGAUGAUUUUCAUUUUAUCAUCAGAUUAUAAAGAAGGAGAGAAUGACUCAAUGUAGUAGCAUAUAUGUUACUGUAAGUUUACUGGAAAUUAUAAGUAACACAUGAUUUUAAAACUCUGCAUUUUCAAAGGAGAAAUCAGUUCAAACUUAACUCACUUAAGUAAAGCCCUUCUGAUCAUUCGCAAAACAGAAUGGCAAAUGCUUCAUGUUCCAUUCGUAAGUUUUCUUGUACAUGUCCUAAGUACCAAAACUGAAAAUGUAUUCCUCAAAGGGCAUUUCCUACUCAAGUUUUAUAAUGAACAAUUGUAUUGGUUAUACUAUAAGUAGAAGUUUUAAAAAUAAUUUUUCUUAAGAAUCUCAGCAACUAGGUAUCUCUUUACUGUAAUAGUAAGAGUAUAUAUAAUCCUUAAGAAAAUAAAAUGACAGGCUAUUCAUUUAGAAAGUAGAAUUGUAUGUUGAUUCUGGUGCUUACAAGUUUAACUUAACACAUCAGAGUAUUUUCAAUCACUCUAAAAUGUCACGUCUAUCACUUAGAUCAGCUGUUCAUUUUUAACUGAGUACAUAUUAAACUCUGGGCAUCAGCUGACACUGGUGUAACUCAAACAUUUCAACUGUCUCCCUGACAGGGAUAACAGAUGCUGACAUUAUCAAAUGCUGUACUAUUUUUUUCCCAUGGCCUCUCCUUGCCCCGAUAUGGCCAGCAUAUGAAAUUGAACUGCCAUCCAAAAGUACACUUGAGCAACUGGAUCUGCUAAACCGCUCCCAUAUAACCAUAAAAAUAGAAGCCAGUGUUAUUGCUAUCUUCAGCACUUAAGUUUAGGCAGUUUAACACCUGUUUCACUUUUAUUAGAAUAAAUGAUGAAAAGAAUUGCAGUUACAUUAAUUUCAGCAGCAGCAUGAUCCUUACUAACCAACAGAUGCAGAACAUGCUUAAUAUUAAGAAUUGUUUGCAAAGUGCCUGAACUAGGGUUGGCUUCCCAGUGUACAUUAAAACAGUUAACUAUAAAGACUAUGUCUUAACUCUGUAUUUCACUGACAACAUACCUUACAGGCAAAUUGUAUUUU